UACAGAGGUGGCAAGCGUUGUUCGGAAUUACUGGGCGUAAAGGGCGCGUAGGCGGCCAUCUAAGUCAGACGUGAAAUCCCCCGGCUUAACCUGGGAACUGCGUCUGAUACUGGACGGCUUGAGUAUGGGAGAGGGAUGUAGAAUUCCAGGUGUAGCGGUGAAAUGCGUAGAUAUCGUAAGGAAGACCAGUGGCGAAGGCGGGUCUCUGGACAGUUCCUGACGCUGAGGCACGAAGGUCAGGGGGAGCAAACGGG
rnacentral:rRNA from 1 species